rnacentral:rRNA from 1 species
GAAAAGGUUGAUCGCGUGGGCNGUCACGGGGCAUGNUGCNCGCCCGAGCCCUUGAAUUCCAAACACACCUGUGAACCCACCGUAGGCCUUCGGGCCUAUGUCUUAUCAUAUAAUCUUGAAUGUCUAAUAGAAUGUAAACCCAUUUCCGUCGCCUUGAAAACGUGACGGAAGAAAACUUAUACAACUUUCAACAACGGAUCUCUUGGCUCUCGCAUCGAUGAAGAACGCAGCGAAAUGCGAUAAGUAAUGUGAAUUGCAGAUUUUCAGUGAAUCAUCGAAUCUUUGAACGCACCUUGCGCCCCUUGGUAUUCCGAGGGGCAUGCCUGUUUGAGUGUCAUUAAAUCCUCAACCCCUCCGAUUCGUUUCGGGCGGGGAUUGGACUUGGANCGUGNUGGCGAAAGUCGGCUCCUCUUUAAAUGGAUCAGCGGAAAAAAUGNCUUUUGCGCCUCUGGNCGUUCANCGUGAUAAUGACNUUGCGCUGCGGUCGAACUCAAGGGCCGCUUCUAAAGGGCCUCGGGACGAUAUCAAUAUGUUUUGACCUCAAAUCAGGUAGGACUACCCGCUGAACUUAAGCAUAUCAAUAAGCCGGAGG